rnacentral:rRNA from 1 species
ACCCGAAACCCGGUGAUCUAGCCAUGGGCAGGUUGAAGGUUGGGUAACACUAACUGGAGGACCGAACCGACUAAUGUUGAAAAAUUAGCGGAUGACUUGUGGCUGGGGGUGAAAGGCCAAUCAAACCGGGAGAUAGCUGGUUCUCCCCGAAAGCUAUUUAGGUAGCGCCUCGUGAAUUCAUCUCCGGGGGUAGAGCACUGUUUCGGCAAGGGGGUCAUCCCGACUUACCAACCCGAUGCAAACUGCGAAUACCGGAGAAUGUUAUCACGGGAGACACACGGCGGGUGCUAACGUCCGUCGUGAAGAGGGAAACAACCCAGACCGCCAGCUAAGGUCCCAAAGUCAUGGUUAAGUGGGAAACGAUGUGGGAAGGCCCAGACAGCCAGGAUGUUGGCUUAGAAGCAGCCAUCAUUUAAAGAAAGCGUAAUAGCUCACUGGUCGAGUCGGCCUGCGCGGAAGAUGUAACGGGGCUAAACCAUGCACCGAAGCUGCGGCAGCGACGCUUAUGCGUUGUUGGGUAGGGGAGCGUUCUGUAAGCCUGCGAAGGUGUGCUGUGAGGCAUGCUGGAGGUAUCAGAAGUGCGAAUGCUGACAUAAGUAACGAUAAAGCGGGUGAAAAGCCCGCUCGCCGGAAGACCAAGGGUUCCUGUCCAACGUUAAUCGGGGCAGGGUGAGUCGACCCCUAAGGCGAGGCCGAAAGGCGUAGUCGAUGGGAAACAGGUUAAUAUUCCUGUACUUGGUGUUACUGCGAAGGGGGGACGGAGAAGGCUAUGUUGGCCGGGCGACGGUUGUCCCGGUUUAAGCGUGUAGGCUGGUUUUCCAGGCAAAUCCGGAAAAUCAAGGCUGAGGCGUGAUGACGAGGCACUACGGUGCUGAAGCAACAAAUGCCCUGCUUCCAGGAAAAGCCUCUAAGCAUCAGGUAACAUCAAAUCGUACCCCAAACCGACACAGGUGGUCAGGUAGAGAAUACCAAGGCGCUUGAGAGAACUCG